GCAGGCUUGAGUCUUGUAGAGGGGGGUAGAAUUCCAGGUGUAGCGGUGAAAUGCGUAGAGAUCUGGAGGAAUACCGGUGGCGAAGGCGGCCCCCUGGACAAAGACUGACGCUCAGGUGCGAAAGCGUGGGGAGCAAACAGGAUUAGAUACCCUGGUAGUCCACGCCGUAAACGAUGUCUACUUGGAGGUUGUGCCCUUGAGGCGUGGCUUCCGGAGCUAACGCGUUAAGUAGACCGCCUGGGGAGUACGGCCGCAAGGUUAAAACUCAAAUGAAUUGACGGGGGCCCGCACAAGCGGUGGAGCAUGUGGUUUAAUUCGAUGCAACGCGAAGAACCUUACCUGGUCUUGACAUCCACGGAAGUUUUCAGAGAUGAGAAUGUGCCUUCGGGAACCGUGAGACAGGUGCUGCAUGGCUGUCGUCAGCUCGUGUUGUGAAAUGUUGGGUUAAGUCCCGCAACGAGCGCAACCC
rnacentral:rRNA from 1 species